UAGGGAAUCUUCCACAAUGGGCGCGAGCCUGAUGGAGCAACGCCGCGUGAGUGAAGAAGGUCUUCGGAUCGUAAAACUCUGUUGUUAGAGAAGAGCAUGCAGGAGAGUAACUGUUCUUGUAUUGACGGUAUCUAACCAGAAAGCCACGGCUAACUACGUGCUAG
rnacentral:rRNA from 1 species